UUUUAUGCACUGUGGACAUGCUUUGGUAGUACCUAACCUGCUAACUACCAUCAGGUGCUAAUGGCCUGGUACUCAGGGCUAUAUUGCUACAAUCAGGCCUGGUACUCAGGGCUAUAUUGCUACAAUUGCUACAAUCAGGUCCUAAUGGCCUAGUACUCAGGACUAUAUUGCUACCAUCAGGUCCUAAUGGCCUGGUACUCAGGGCUAUAUUGCUACAAUGAGGUCCUAAUGACCUGGUACUCAGGGCUAUAUUGCUACAAUGAGGUCCUAAUGACCUUGUAUUCAGGGUUAUAUUGCUACCAUCAGGUCCUAAUGGCCUGGUACUCAGGGUUCUAUUGUCCCUCCAUCAGGUCCUAAUGGCCUGUUACUCAGGGUUCUAUUGUCCCUCCAUCAGGUCCUAAUGACCUGGUACUCAGGGUUCUAUUGUGUCUCCAUCAGGUCCUAAUGGCCUGGUACUCAGGGUUCUAUUGUCCCUCCAUCAGGUCCUAAUGGCCUGGUACUCAG
rnacentral:lncRNA from 1 species